rnacentral:rRNA from 1 species
UACAGAGGGUGCAAGCGUUAAUCGGAAUUACUGGGCGUAAAGCGUGCGUAGACGGUUAUGUAAGUCGGGUGUGAAAGCCCCGGGCUCAACCUGGGAAUUGCAUUCGAGACUGCAUAGCUAGGGUGCGGAAGAGGGAAGCGGAAUUUCCGGUGUAGCGGUGAAAUGCGCAGAUAUCGGGAAGAACACCCGUGGCGAAGGCGGCUCACUGGCCCGGUACUGACGCUGAGGUGCGAAAGCGUGGGGAGCAAACAGG